rnacentral:rRNA from 1 species
UACGUAGGUCCCGAGCGUUGUCCGGAUUUAUUGGGCGUAAAGCGAGCGCAGGUGGUUUAUUAAGUCUGGUGUAAAAGGCAGUGGCUCAACCAUUGUAUGCAUUGGAAACUGGUAGACUUGAGUGCAGGAGAGGAGAGUGGAAUUCCAUGUGUAGCGGUGAAAUGCGUAGAUAUAUGGAGGAACACCGAUGGCGAAAGCGGCCCUCUGGCCUGUAACUGACACUAAGGCUCGAAAGCGUGGGGAGCAAACAGG